rnacentral:tRNA from 1 species
GCCUGGCUGGCUCAGUCAGCAGAGCAUGUGACUCUUAAUCUUGGGGUUGUGAGUUCGAGCCCCAUGUUGGGUG